AACGAACGCUGGCGGCAGGCAUAACACAUGCAAGUCGAGCGAAGCCUUCGGGCUUAGCGGCGGACGGGUGAGUAACGCGUGGGAACGUGCCCUUUGCUACGGAAUAGCCCCGGGAAACUGGGAGUAAUACCGUAUGUGCCCUUCGGGGGAAAGAUUUAUCGGCAAAGGAUCGGCCCGCGUUGGAUUAGGUAGUUGGUGGGGUAAUGGCCUACCAAGCCGACGAUCCAUAGCUGGUUUGAGAGGAUGAUCAGCCACACUGGGACUGAGACAUGGCCCAGACUCCUACGGGAGGCAGCAGUGGGGAAUCUUAGACAAUGGGGGAAACCCUGAUCUAGCCAUGCCGCGUGAGUGAUGAAGGCCUUAGGGUUGUAAAGCUCUUUCAGCUGGGGAGAUAAUGACGGUACCAGCAGAAGAAGCCCCGGCUAACUCCGUGCCAGCCGCCGCAGUAACAC
rnacentral:rRNA from 1 species